rnacentral:rRNA from 1 species
UACGGGGGGGGGCAAGCGUUGUUCGGAAUUACUGGGCGUAAAGGGCUCGUAGGCGGCCAACUAAGUCAGACGUGAAAUCCCUCGGCUUAACCGGGGAACUGCGUCUGAUACUGGAUGGCUUGAGUUUGGGAGAGGGAUGCGGAAUUCCAGGUGUAGCGGUGGAAAUGCGUAGAUAUCUGGAGGAACACCGGUGGCGAAGGCGGCAUCCUGGACCAACACUGACGCUGAGGAGCG